rnacentral:Y_RNA from 1 species
GGCUGGUCCAAAGGUAGUGUGUUAUCUUGAUUGUUCAGUCAGUUACAGAUCAAACUCCUUGUUUACUCUAAGAGUACUUCUUUCUUCUACCCUUGACUAGUCAAGG